rnacentral:lncRNA from 1 species
ACCUAAAUAAAUUAUGAAAUACUAACAAAAAAAAGUCAAAAAAAAGGUCGGACAAGCUAAUAAGCAAACAAAAGUUGGACUUCUAGAAAAUUAAACUAAAAUUCGGACCAACUAAACUAUGUAGAAAAUUCGGACUACUAUUAAAUAGAAAAUUCGGACUCCUAAACAAGAACAAGAAAAAUUCGGAACUAUGUGUAUAAACUAAAAUUCAGACACACUAACCUAGAUAAAAGUCGGACGAUGAAAUUCGGACUCUACUAAAACAAGACAAAAGUCGGACUCUUAUAUGAUAAUAAACAAAAGUCAAAGGUCGGACCUAUCUCAUGAAUAUUCUAAAAUUCGGACAACCAGAAACUCGGACCUGAGAACUAAAUAAAAGUUUAAAAAGUCGGACUUAACUAAAGGCUAAAAAAUUCGGACAAGAUAAACUCUAAACUCAGACCCUCUAAAACUCAGAAGAACCAAUCUCCGGACUAUCUCCCCAAUGUGACUACACACUGGUUCAACAAUACCGCGGAGACACAAACACAGAAUGUAAACCACGGACAAAGCUUCCAAAGAUCAAACUCAGAAUCUUUUUCACCUUCAAAACUCUGUAUGAACAAGAACCAAAAACCCCUGUAAAACCCAGAUGAAGAAUAACACUAAAAAUCACUAAACUACUCAAAAUCCAUCAUCAAAUCACUAGAUAUGAAUGAAGAAUCAUGAAUAAAACACAAAAACUCACUAAACUCUCACUAAACCCUAUCAAAGUAUGAACUUUUCUCACCAAAACCUUCAAACUAAGAACACCUACAGUAGUAUGAGCACACUGCUCUGAUACCACUUGUAAGGCCUCCUAAUCCAAGAUCUCACUCAGCUAAAGCAACCAACAGGUGUGCGGAAUCCACCUGAUGAUCAACCACUGCAUAUGAAACACUAGUAUGCAAGGAUUUGAGAGAGAAAUCAAGAAUACACUAAGUAUUCUUGAUGAAGAAGAUGAAUAUGAAUGACGUCACUCACACAAAGCAGCCGCCAGACAAAACACAAUGAUUAGGGUUAGGUGCACAGAAUUUCACACAGAAUCGUUACCUUGUCUAUUCCACAUUAAAGUAUAUAUACAAGGCAAAGCCCGGACUUUCAAGACUAACUAGAAAGCCCGGACAAAACAUAUAGCACAAAGCUCAGACCUUUUGCCUAGACAAAACUCAGACAAAGGCUACACAAACAAACCCUGACCUUAGUCCUAUACAAAAACUCUGACUAAAGAAACCAUUCUAAAACUUGGACAAAAGUCCCUAGGAUAAACUUGGGACUAUCUUUUACAAAUGUACAAUAAAGACCCUAAUAAAUUAGGAGACAUGCACUUAUCACCUAAAGUGCAUUAACAGAAAGUGACAUGUUUGUUGUGACUGGGGAAGUUGAGUGGGAUAAUCAUAAAGUUCAACAAUCUAUGAUAAAAGUUGCAGUCGUAGUUAGCAAGCUACUUGAUUCAACUUGGGGUAAGUUUCUCUAACUUGUGUCAACAAUCGAACAAUACUUAGACAUUGAUACAUCGUUCAAAUAGGGCAAUCGGGUGGUUAAAAGCAUAUGCGGAAUGGAUCUUAAAUAAGAAAACAGUAUCUGACAACUCUCGGAACACUUCAAUGGGAAUGGUAAGAGAAAAAUAAGGUCUAUCACUAAUGGUACAGUUGUAGCGGUUCACCUGUGGCUUGCAAGAUGGACCAAAUCAGUGCGAGACAAAUCACACAUUAUGUUUUUUAACUAUGAAGAAUGCAAGCACUACGCAUCCAAGUACCCAAAUCAAGAAAGUGAAGUGGGUGAAGCAUAUAGCUUGCUCAAGUUGAAGAUGAUGAAGAACCCGCUCUACUGAUGAUUGUAUGCAAGCAAAAGGAACAACGUGAGGUGUUGUGAGAUGGUGAUGGGGCAAGUGGCAAUUCAAAGGGUGCUAUGGAUCCAGAGUUGAAGGCGAAUUAAAGAGAUGAGGUUAAUUGUAAGUUUAUGGGUUUGCUAAUUUAGUCAAGUUAGAGUUAUAGUAGGAUCAGUGUUUGUUUCGUUUAAAAUAUGAAAGCUCAUAUUGUAAUUAUUUUGUCGUGGGUUUUUAAAUAAUAAGAAAAAGGUCGCAGCAGGUUGUUACAAAAAAUCUUCCUCUUGAAAUUAUUCAUAUACCAUUUAUGUCAAAUAUGGUCUUCUUGAAGACAAAUGAAGCUGCCUUAUCAAUAAUUGAUUGAAUAGGGAAAAUCUUUAAGUAUCAACUCAUAGGCUGUGGGCAUAGUUUCCUAAAAGUACAACCACACAAUAAAUGAACGUCCACACAAGACGGACUAUUAGUACAAUUUACAUCAAAUGCAUGCAGGGCAGUUGAUGUGGCUAGGAUAACAUAUCAGAAUCAGGGACGUAGCGUGUCAAGAUACAUAAACCCCAAUGUUUUAAAAAAAAAUCGUAGGAUUGGUAUGUUAAAUUUUUCAAGGACGUCAUAAAAUAAAUUAGUUGGACCCUAUAAUAGUAAAAGCAAAGAUUGUAUUGUGGUAAAUCUCCUUGUGUUCCAACAAGUUAGUUUCAAGUUCAAGUCUUACAUCUGUUGUUUUUAAGUUUAUAUUUUCCAUCAAAAUUAAACUAGUGUAUUAAAACACCACAACCACCCAUUGAUCCUCUAAUUUGGUUUUUUAAAAUGAUAAAUUUAAUGUCUCCAAAUAAUUUUAUUUCACAUUUGAUUACCAAAUAUGACUUUCAACAUAUAGUGGCGUUCAAAAAAAAAAAAAAAAAAAAAAAAAAAACUUAAACAAAUUUUUGAAGUUAUGUGAAGUAGUUGUGUUGUUUAGUUAGUUAUUGGUUUCAAACAACUUAUUAAUCACCACAAUUUGUUAACUUGAUUCUUAAAAAUGGUUCUUAAUAAUGUAGUGGUUUCAUGUCCACUAAAUGCUUCUAUAUUAUUUCCUAGCCCCGACCCGACCCGACUAUGAUGACCGACCCGAAUAUUUUAAUGUUUGGUUGUGAAAAAUUCUAACGCAAAAAAUGGACCCUAAUGAAACAAAAUACUAGGUCCGCCACUUGUCAGAAGUCGAAAUUUUAAUUUUCAGGAUUGUCUAAACAUCCCCCAUCUCGUACUAAACAUACCACUCUACGUGACAGAGUAUAUCUUUUUAAUGGUGAACCUCUUCUCUAAGUUUGUGAGAGUCUCGAUAAGGCUCGCAAGUUGA